GACGAACGCUGGCGGCGUGCUUAACACAUGCAAGUCGAACGGAAAGGCCCUGCUUGCAGGGUACUCGAGUGGCGAACGGGUGAGUAACACGUGGGUGAUCUGCCCUGCACUUCGGGAUAAGCCUGGGAAACUGGGUCUAAUACCGGAUAGGAGCCAUUUUUAGGGUGAUGGUUGGAAAGUUUUUUCGGUGUAGGAUGAGCUCGCGGCCUAUCAGCUUGUUGGUGGGGUAAUGGCCUACCAAGGCGGCGACGGGUAGCCGGCCUGAGAGGGUGGACGGCCACAUUGGGGCUGAGAUACGGCCCAGACUCCUACGGGAGGCAGCAGUGGGGAAUAUUGCACAAUGGGCGCAAGCCUGAUGCCGCGACGCCGCGUGGGGGAUGACGGCCUUCGGGUUGUAAACUCCUUUCGCUAGGGACGAAGCUUUUUGUGACGGUACCUAGAUAAGAAGCACCGGCUAACUACGUG
rnacentral:rRNA from 1 species